GAACGUCUUAGUCUGUUAUCUAUUUGUCAAAAUGUUGGAUCUUACGUAGCCCGGACAGCAACGAAGAUUUGCAAUGCAAGGAUCAUCCUGUGGGAGAUGUUGCUCCAGCCAUCUGCCAGUACUUUCUGCUAAUUUAGGGAGGAACAUAGUUACGUGAAUAGACCAGUGUUAUAGCGGCGCCUGAAGGUUAUAGCUGGAAUGGACCACGAAGCCGUGUGAUCGACGUAGCCAAAUUACGGGCUUCAAGGCUCUGGAAAAGGGCUGAAUCUGCAUCUAAAGACGGAGGUGGACAAUAUUGUGGGAAAUCACGAGGGCCGAGUCCCCGACACAGCCUUGGAGCAGGCAAAUGCAACGAAAUGACCCUAUGAAGCCAGCAAGCAACUAAGGCAAGAAGCAUAAUAGAAUGUGGGGCGAGAUUGCCAGCACCUGCAGAAGGCGGCGUAGAAAACUAGAUCCGCUGCUGGAGCUGUUCUCGCCAUGUAGGGGGUGUCGCCGAUGAGGUGAGCGGUGUGUUUUGCGUUCUCGCUCCAGCUUAAGCGGGCUCCGCAACAAGGACUGCUGACAUGGCCUCUUCGUGUUCAGUAACGCGGAACGCAGCCCCGAUGGGCUGAACCCUGCAUGCCCCCGGCGUCUGGGACAGGAUGAAAGACCUGACCUGUUUGACAAGCCAGUUGGACUCAUGAAAAUCCAGCGCACGCAAGCACCAUCGAGAAACCUGUCGCGAUACGUCACGUCUAUCAAUUGUACAUCAAUUGUUUCCUUCCAUCCAUUCACCGAAAGUAAAUGCAGGGAUUUUGUAAAGAUAGACUCCAGGGCCGUGGCAGUGCUCUCUAACUGCACCCGUCAACACUGGAAACGCUAAGCAGCGUACCGUAACAAGGAUGACCCAUACCAAUAGAAUGCAAAUUUGGCAUGCCAGAUGUGGAAGUGGGCUUGAAAGGCUGCAUAUAGAUUAUACGUGUGCUGGAGGUGGCGGGUUGGGGAAUUGUGUGUGUGUAUGUGUGCAGCGGCAUGUCACGCUGGGGUCCCCAGUCCGCUCGCCUUGCGCUACGUAAGCUUGCUUAGCUUGCAUGUCACAUUUUGACGAUGCAGUACAACUGGGAUAGGACCGCGAGCGAGUCCUGUCAGCGGUCCGUCUUGCCUUCACAUGCGUUUGGAGCACGUGAUGCGUGAAGUGUUGAAUCCUACUUCAACAUUUGUCCAUGAUCAUACUGAGUUUCCCAGUUCUACAAUCCCUACAUAGAACUUUACCUCCCUCCCCUCCCCUCCAUCCCGCCUCAAGAUUUCUAGGCUGCUGGCAACUGCAGGUAUGGUGCUUAAGCUGCCUAAGCUUCCGUGCAUGUCCAUCACUGGCCGUAGCAGCACACCCUGGAUUGCGGCCGGCCAGGCGUUCACGUGCUGUCAACUGCGCUGGUAUGCCCCCCGAUACUAUCUUGUUGGCAUUUGUGGUUGUUGGCUACAUGUAAAUUGUAUGCACGUGGUCGAGAGGAUGCUUCAUCUGCCGUGUUGUUACGCGCCGCUCGCUCCAUUCGGGAGACGCGCUGCCUACCUUGAGGUUGUAUGGAUGGGCAACAGGCAGGGACGCGAAAAGAACGAUAGGUCGGCGGGAUGGGCUGCUAUGGAUCAGUAUGGAUCAGCUGCUAGGUAGCUGUCGACCCUGGAACCCCACGGCCCCCUCCUAGGCGCCUCGAAUACGGCUUAAGACACAAGAAAGCGCUUCCUCA
rnacentral:lncRNA from 1 species